UAAAUUCUCUCGCAUGAGGGGAGACGGAAAGGUGGCGCAAGCUACCACUUACGGAUGGGCCUGCGGCGGGGCAUUAGCUAGUUGGUGGGGUAACUUGGCCUACCAAGGCGACGAUGCGUAGCCGACCUGAGAGGGUGACCGGCCACACUGGGACUGAGACUACGGCCCAGACUCCUACGGGAGGCAGCAGUAGGGAAUUUUCCACAAUGGACGAAAGUCUGACUGGAGCAACGCCGCGUGAACGAUGAAGGUCUUGCAACGGAUUGUAAAGUUCUGUUGUCAGAGACGAACAAGUACCGUUCGAACAGGGCGGUGACCUUGACGGUGACCUGACGGAGAAAGCCACGGCUAACUACGUGCCAGCAGCCGCGGUAAUACGUAGGUGGCAAGCGUUGUCCGAUGAAUUAUUGGGCGUAAAGCGCGCGCAGGCGGCUAUGUAAGUCUGGUGUUAAAGCCCGGGGCUCAACCCCGGUUCGCAUCGGAAACUGUGUAGCUUGAGUGCAGAAGAGCUAGAAAGCGGUAUUCCACGUGUAGCGGUGAAAUGCGUACCCGAGAUGUGGAGGAACCACCAGUGGCGCCAAGGCGGCUUUCUGCGUCUGUAACUGACGCU
rnacentral:rRNA from 1 species